UACGUAGGGUGCGAGCGUUGUCCGGAAUUAUUGGGCGUAAAGGGCUCGUAGGCGGUCUGUUGCGUCAGGAGUGAAAACUCGGGGCUUAACCCCGAGCCUGCUUCUGAUACGGGCAGACUAGAGGUAUGCAGGGGAGAACGGAAUUCCUGGUGUAGCGGUGAAAUGCGUAGAUAUCUGGAGGAAUACCGGUGGCGAAGGCGGCAUCCUGGACCGACAUUGACGCUGAUGAGCGAAAAGCUAGGGGAGCAAACGGG
rnacentral:rRNA from 1 species